rnacentral:rRNA from 1 species
CAGUAGCCGCGGUAGUACGUAGGUGGCAAGCGUUGUCCGGAAUUAUUGGGCGUAAAGGGCUCGCAGGCGGUUUCUUAAGUCUGAUGUGAAAGCCCCCGGCUCAACCGGGGAGGGUCAUUGGAAACUGGGAAACUUGAGUGCAGAAGAGGAGAGUGGAAUUCCACGUGUAGCGGUGAAAUGCGUAGAGAUGUGGAGGAACACCAGUGGCGAAGGCGACUCUCUGGUCUGUAACUGACGCUGAGGAGCGAAAGCGUGGGGAGCGAACAGGAUUAGAUACCCCGGUAGUCCCUGUCUCUUAUAC